rnacentral:rRNA from 1 species
GACGAACCGUGCGAACGUUGUUCGGAAUCACUGGGCUUAAAGGGCGCGUAGGCGGGUGGUCAAGUCAGGGGUGAAAUCCUCCCGCUCAACGGGAGAAGGGCCCCUGAUACUGUCCAUCUCGAGGGAGGUAGGGGCAUGUGGAACUUCCGGUGGAGCGGUGAAAUGCGUAGAGAUCGGAAGGAACGCCGGUGGCGAAAGCGACGUGCUGGACCUCUACUGACGCUGAGGCGCGAAAGCCAGGGGAGCAAACGGGAUUAGAUACCCCAGUAGUCC